AGGCAACGAUCAGUAGCCGGCCUGAGAGGGUGAACGGCCACAUUGGGACUGAGACACGGCCCAAACUCCUACGGGAGGCAGCAGUGGGGAAUAUUGCACAAUGGGGGAAACCCUGAUGCAGCGACGCCGCGUGAGUGAAGAAGUAUUUCGGUAUGUAAAGCUCUAUCAGCAGGGAAGAAAUACUGACCAUAGGGUCAGCAGACGGUACUUGACUAAGAAGCCCCGGCUAACUACGUGCCAGCAGCCGCGGUAAUACGUAGGGGGCAAGCGUUAUCCGGAUUUACUGGGUGUAAAGGGAGCGUAGACGGCAGCGCAAGUCUGAAGUGAAAUGCCAGGGCUUAACCCUGGAACUGCUUUGGAAACUGUGCAGCUAGAGUGCAGGAGAGGUAAGUGGAAUUUCUAGUGUAGCGGUGAAAUGCGUAGAUAUUAGGAGGAACACCAGUGGCGAAGGCGGCUUACUGGACUGUAACUGACGUUGAGGCUCGAAAGCGUGGGGAGCAAACAGGAUUAGAUACCCUGGUAGUCCACGCUGUAAACGAUGAUUACUAGGUGUUGGGGGACCAAGGUUCUUCG
rnacentral:rRNA from 1 species